GAUGAACGCUAGCGGCAGGCUUAACACAUGCAAGUCGAGGGGCAGCGCGGGAUAGCAAUAUCCUGGCGGCGACCGGCGGAAGGGUGCGUAACGCGUGAGCGACAUGCCCGUUGCCCGGGGACAACCGGUGGAAACGCCGACUAAUCCCCGAUGGGAUACGAUGCUUCAUGGCAUUGUAUUGAAAGUUACGGCGGCGACGGAUUGGCUCGCGUCCGAUUAGCUGGUUGGCGGGGUAACGGCCCACCAAGGCUGCGAUCGGUAGGGGUUCUGAGAGGAAGGCCCCCCACAAUGGGACGGAGACACGGCCCAUACUCCGACGGGAGGCAGCAGUGAGGAAUAUUGGUCAAUGGGCGGAAGCCUGAACCAGCCAUGCCGCGUGCGGGAAGGAGGCCCUAUGGGCUGUGAACCGCUUUUGCCUGGGGGCAAUAAGGGCGUCGCGCACGUCCGAUGAGAGUACCAGGCGAAUAAGCAUCGGCUAACUCCGUG
rnacentral:rRNA from 1 species